AAAUUGAACAAUUAUAAUUUUUUAGGAAAAAAUUAAAUUACUAAUAACUAACAGUUAAUACACUUAUUAAAUCUACUAAAUUUUUAAUUUACAUAUUUUUUAACUAUUUUAAUAUUUAUUCCUAAUUUUUUCACAUAUGCCCUUAUAAAAUAAUUUAAUUACUAAUAAGCUCUUACAAAAUUUUAUGUUGUGAAUAUACCAAUUUAAUUUAUUUUUAUUUAAAUUAAUUAAAUUAUAAAAUUAUUUAUGUUUAAAUUUAUUUAAUUAAUAAUUAGGAUAAUAAAUUAAUAUAAGAACAUAGAAAUAUUAAUUAAAAUGUAUUAAUAAAUAGCUUCUUCCAACAGCUGAGAUGAUUAGAGUGGCUUUAGGGGUUCUACAAUAAGUAUUUUUAUUAACUUGUAUUUAAUACAUCUAUUAAAUUUACUAUAUUUUUCAUUUAUAUAUAAUAUUUAAUAAUUUUUUUUCACAGAUGCUUUUAUAAAAUAAUUUAGUUGCUAAUAAGUUCUUAGAAAAGUUACGUGGCAAAUAAAUCAAUUUACACUAUUUUUAUUUAAAUUACUUUUUAAAUUUAUUUAAUUAAUAAUUAAGAGAAUAAAAUAAUAUAAAUAUUCUAAUUAAAUAUUAUUAUUAAAAUAUCUUAUAUCCACAGCAUCGCGCGGCUAAUUCACUAAUUUAACAUAAUGUGAUAGUGAGCUAAUAAGUAUCCAAAGUUGAGAAAUCAUUUUAGCCAUUUUAAUAUCUAACAAAGCAAGGCAAUUCAGUCCACAAAUUUUUUUUUUAAAGCAAACUAGUAUAUACCCACACAGCAAAUGAUUAGUUGAGGGCCAUUUGGUUCGAUAAUUACAUACAACUUAUUUGGUUCGAUGUAAUAAAAAGUAUUAACUUAUUUGGUUCGAUGUAAUAAAAAGUAUUGUAGUUAUAAAUAUUUUAUUGUUUUAUAUAGUUGAGAGUUUAUAAGUAUUUUAUUGUUUUAUAUAGUUGAGAGUUACAUUUAUUAUUUUAUAUUAUCUACAGUAGUGCUUGGUGUUAUUAGAUUUUCGGCUCUUGAAUAAAAAGAUGUUCGGUUAGGAAGAUAGCAAUCUCCGGUUAGAAUGAUAAUAGCUUCCUAGAGUUGAGUGGGUGGUUAGUUGAAUAGUAUGAUCUAACGGGUGAAAAUGGUCAAAGUGGUAGAUCUAAUGGCGGAAACUCUAUAGUAUCAAGCGCUUGAUACUAUCGAUAGUAUAGUAGCUGUACUAUAUAUAUAU
rnacentral:lncRNA from 1 species